UACGUAGGCAGCAAGCGUUGUUCGGAGUUACUGGGCGUAAAGGGUGCGUAGGCGGCGCGGUAAGUCGGGUGUGAAAUCUUGGAGCUUAACUCCGAAACUGCAUUCGAUACUGCCGUGCUUGAGGACUGGAGAGGAGACUGGAAUUUACGGUGUAGCGGUGAAAUGCGUAGAUAUCGUAAGGAAGACCAGUGGCGAAGGCGGGUCUCUGGACAGUUCCUGACGCUGAGGCACGAAGGCCAGGGGAGCAAACGGG
rnacentral:rRNA from 1 species